AGCAGCCGCGGUAAUUCCAGCUCCAAUAGCGUAUAUUAAAGUUGUUGCAGUUAAAAAGCUCGUAGUUGAAUUUCGGGAUUGGCGCAUCGGUCGUGCCUCACGGGGUAUGAACUGGUGCAGUCAAUUUCUCACCUUCUGGAGAACCGCGAUGUCCUUAAUUGGGUGCCGCGGGGAACCAGGACCUUUACUUUGAAAAAUUAGAGUGUUUAAAGCAGGCAUUUUUGCUUGAAUACAUUAGCAUGGAAUAAUAAAAUAGGACGGCAUGGUUCUAUUUUGUUGGUUUCUAGGACCACCGUAAUGAUUAAUAGGGAUAGUUGGGGGCAUUAGUAUUCAAUUGUCAGAGGUGAAAUUCUUGGAUUUAUUGAAGACUAACUACUGCGAAAGCAUUUGCCAAGGAUGUUUUCAUUAAUCAAGAACGAAAGUUAGGGGAUCGAAGACGAUCAGAUACCGUCGUAGUCUUAACCAUAAACUAUGCCGACUAGGAAUCAGACGAUGUUAAUUUUUAAUGACUCGUUUGGCA
rnacentral:rRNA from 1 species